CCCACGGCUUGCGCCGUGGGCUACCAUCUUUCGCCCCUCCGGGGCU
rfam:Planctomycetaceae bacterium SCGC AG-212-F19 AG-212-F19.50, whole genome shotgun sequence.